UACAGAGGGUGCAAGCGUUAAUCGGAAUUACUGGGCGUAAAGCGUGCGUAGACGGUUACAUAAGUCGGGUGUGAAAGCCCCGGGCUCAACCUGGGAAUUGCAUUCGAGACUGCGUAGCUAGGGUGCGGAAGAGGGAAGCGGAAUUUCCGGUGUAGCGGUGAAAUGCGUAGAUAUCGGAAGGAACACCAGUGGCGAAAGCGGCUUCCUGGUCCGACACCGACGUUCAGGCACGAAAGCGUGGGGAGCAAACAGG
rnacentral:rRNA from 1 species